CGUUCGAUAGCUCAGUUGGUAGAGCGGGGGACUGUGGAUCCCUAGGUCACUGGUUCAAAUCCGGUUAGAAGGA
rnacentral:tRNA from 1 species